rnacentral:lncRNA from 1 species
CAUGUUCCUUGUUAUAUGCAAUUAGAGACUUUCAACAUGUAGAUUUGCUUCCAAGACUUCUGUCAUAGAAGAGUACCUUUCCUGUUAUCCCACGGUACCUUCUUGAAUUAAUGAAUCCACGGUACCUUCUUGAAUUAACGAAUCGUGGCUACCUUUUAGUUCAUAAAUUGCUAUGGAUGGAUAUUGUGCCUUGCGUUUAUUUGUUGUAUCAGAGCUAGCAAAAAUCCAAGAGUACUUCUGUGGUGGUCUGAGAACAUUUUUUGGUCGCCCAAAGACAUGUCUUCGCAUGUUAUGCUUUUUUUUACGUGCUGUAAUUUUAUUUGUAUAUCUAUCUACUGGGUGUUAUUUCUAGUCCUCUUGGUUCAACAUAGGCAGUUUCCUUUCUUUCUAAAAACAAAACAAAAC